UACGUAGGCAGCGAGCGUUGUUCGGAGUUACUGGGCGUAAAGGGUGUGUAGGCGGUUGUUUAAGUUUGGUGUGAAAUCUCCCGGCUCAACUGGGAGGGUGCGCCGAAUACUGAAUGACUCGAGUGCGGGAGAGGAGAGUGGAAUUCCUGGUGUAGCGGUGAAAUUCGUAGAUAUUCGCAAGAACACCGGUGGCGAAGGCGGGUCUCUGGGCCGAUACUGACGCUGAGGAGCGAAAGCGUGGGGAGCGAACAGG
rnacentral:rRNA from 1 species